AAUCGUGAAAAAUGGAAGACAGUAGCACAGACACAGAAAAAGAAGAGGAAGAGGAGAAAGAUGAAAAGGAUCAAGAGCCCAUUUAUGCCAUAGUGCCCACAAUUAACAUUCAAGAUGAGCGGUUUGUUGAUUUAUCUGAAACUCCAGCUUUCAUUUUUCUGCGUGAG
rnacentral:sRNA from 1 species